rnacentral:rRNA from 1 species
UAACGGGUCGUAACUUAACCGUACCGACUAAGUUUACGUUUUCGUAGUCGCAAUGAUCGGGAAAGGAAGACGGCCUUUGUGCUGUCGCUUAUGGAUGGACCCGCGGCGUAUUAGUUAGUUGGUGAGGUAACGGCUCACCAAGACGAUGAUACGUAGCCGACCUGAGAGGGUGAUCGGCCACAUUGGGACUGAGACACGGCCCAAACUCCUACGGGAGGCAGCAGUAGGGAAUCUUCCGCAAUGGACGAAAGUCUGACGGAGCAACGCCGCGUGAGUGAAGAAAAGGUUUUCGGAUCGUAAAACUCUGUUGUCAGAGAAGAACAAGUUGGAGAGUAACUGCUCCAGCCUUGACGGUAUCUGACCAGAAAGCCACGGCUAACUACGUGCCAGCCGCAGC